UUAAAGAUACUCCUGCAUAGCCACAGACUCAAGCAAUGGGUGCAGCCCGGAGAGAUCCUCGGGGAGGUGAAAUUCCUGUGA
rfam:Coprobacillus sp. 29_1 genomic scaffold supercont1.4, whole genome shotgun sequence.